rnacentral:rRNA from 1 species
AUUGAACGCUGGCGGCAUGCUUUACACAUGCAAGUCGAACGGUAACAGGCCUUCGGGUGCUGACGCGUGGCUAACGGGUGAGUAAUGCAUCGGAACGUGCCCAGCGUUGGGGGAUAACGCAGCGACAGCUGUGCUAAUACCGCAUGUGAUCUGAGGAUGAAAGCGGUGGACCAAGCAGCAAUGUUUGGCCUCGCGCCUCUGGACCCGCCGAUGUCCGAUUAGGUAGUUGGUGGGGUAAAGGCCUACCAAGCCGACGAUCUGUAGCUGGUCUGAGAGGACGACAAGCCACACUGGGAGUGAGACACGGACAAGACGCCUGAGGGAGGCAGCAGUGGGGAAUGUUGGACAAUGGGCGCAAGCAUGAUACAGCAAUGCCGAGUGCGGGAAGAAGGCGUUGGGGUUGUAAACCGCGUUUGUACGGAACGAAAAGGCUCUGGCUAAUACCUGGGGCUGAUGACGGUACCGUAAGAAUAAGCACCGGCUAACUACGUG